rnacentral:rRNA from 1 species
CCCCUUAGUCGGAAUGCUGGUAACCGUCUCUCUAUCUGAUCAAUAUUCGGAACCAACACCACACGUUAAAUAACAAGUAAUGCCAGAACCGCUGACAGAAAGGAGAUUAUUCGAUUACCGACAACCCACGUGAAGGGGAGCAGAAAACCUGCAGCGCUGAGCGACUGCUGAACAAGACCUUCCCUGUGACGAACAGUGUUUGACCGUUCGUCACCGCCGAUCUCUACAUCGUGAUCACGCGAGACUCGACGGAAGGUCUCAGCCGCUCUUCAGUCGAGAGAUCAGACUUUAGGGCGACAUCAACUUCGCUUCCUAUCGACCCGAAACAAUCCGACACAACACGGAAGACAGAUCAACAACUAAAACAGAGACGCUGAAACGAAAAAAAAAA